AUAGACCGUUUAGAUUGGGUCCUAUAUUAAAACAACAAGGUCAAGUGUUGAGCAACAAUGUGACGCAAAUCACAUUCUACAAAAGCUACGAAAACAAUAGAAACCAUUGAGCAACAGUGUUUUCUAAUUUCACGCAAUUUCAAGAAAAAAUGAGAAUCUGUGACGCAACUAGCUCAAAUCAUUGUUGUAUCAUUACUUAGAAUUCGAGAAUCAAGUUCCACAAAAAUGCGAAAAGUUGUAUAUAAAAACCUCAGAAAUUCGUCACAUGCAUUGAGCUGAAGAUUUAAGGAUAAACACGAGUAAGACAUCGAGGUUAUUGGAUCAGAUCUAUGAUCUAAUCGAAGAAUCCGUUAACCAGAUCACAUCAGAGAUUUUUGAUUAACAUGAACAAAUCGAUUAUAAAGCGAUGUAAAACAAAGGCCCGAUAAAAAUUCAGAUAAAUUGCGAAAAUCAACCAUAGAAAUAGAAUUCAAGAGUGAGAGAG